AUGGCGUCCAAGCAGAUGGAGGAGAUCCAGCGGAAGCUGGCGGUGCUGGCCUACCCGCGCGCCAGCGCGCCUGCGCAGUCCCUCCUCUUCGCCGGCGUCGAGCGCUACCGCCUCCUCGAGUGGCUCUUCUUCCGGCUGCUGGGCGACAGAUCGCCAUUCACGCAGCAGAACUGGCAGGGGGACAGCCUCGACCGCGACGAGGAGAACAGCAGGAUCCAACACUUGGCGGAGAUCGCGAAUUUCCUUGGUAUCACGCCUUCAGUCGACACUGAGGCGAUUCAGGGCAGAGGCAGCUACGACGAGCGGGUGGAGCUCCUCCGUCUAAUUGUUGACUUGGUGGAAGCUAGCUGCUAUGCCGACAAUCCAGAGUGGAGUGUUGAUGAGCAGUUGGCAAAGGACGUACAACUUGUAGAUUCCAUUGCAGAGAAACAGGCACAAAUAUUUUCAGAGGAGUGCAAGCUUUUUCCUGCAGAUGUCCAAAUACAAUCAAUUUACCCCCUGCCUGAUAUAGCAGAACUAGAGUUGAAGCUCUCUGAGUAUACCAAAAAGAUGUCAAAUCUGCAACAGAUGGUGCAGGAGCUAGCCUCAAAGUAUGACUAUAAUCCGAACGAAGACUAUGCCGAGACAGAGUUGAAGUUGAGGGAACAUUUGCAAUCGUUUCUUGAAACAGUAAAAUCCUUCAAUAUGAUAUACACUAAGGAAAUUCAUCCUUGGACCCACAUGAUGGAGGUGCCACAGUUGCAUGGGUUUGGUCCAGCUGCUAACCGCUUGUUAGAGGCUUAUAACACACUUUUAAAGUUCCUUGGAAAUUUGAGGAGCCUGCGAGAUUCAUAUACAGCAAUGGCAGCUGGCUCACUUUCAAAUUCAAGCGAGCCUUCAUCCGUCACAAAAAUCAUUUCAGACUGUGAAUCCGCGCUCACGUUCUUAAACAACAGCCUUGCCAUCCUUUCAACUUCCGUGGCACGGGAGCAGGGUGAAACGCUAUGA
rnacentral:rRNA from 1 species